UUUCUGUAAAUUAUUCUUUUUUUACGUGAUGAUCUUCUUGAUAAGUUCUGUUCUUAGUUUCUUCAUUGUAUAUUAUUUUAAAUUUUUUAUUGCUUGCUGUCAGGUUUUAUUUUUUUCAAGGCUUGUUUGGAUGUAUUACUCCAUUGUUUACUGCUGCAAACCGAAUUAAUAAUGUGAAGCUUCUGUGGAAUUUCAAAAAGUCACUCUUUAUGUUUGUAUUUUCGAAAUAAUAAGUAUCAGUCUUGAUAUAAGCUUUCGUGAGUCAGAUGAACAUAUUCUCUUGUUAGUUUAUUAUCCAAAAUUGAAAGUGCUUACUUGGUGAAUGGCUGAUACAGAAGAAAUGGUCAUUUUUAUACAAGUUGGCAACAUAACGGCUUAGCAAAGGAUGAACUUGUAUAAGAGAAGCUUCAUUAGCUAGAGAGGAGCUGAAUUGUUCUUUUAUAUGUAUUUUUGCACAUCAUCACUUUUGUAAAGCAUAAAAUAACUCAAUAAAUGGGAAUUUCCUUGUUUGAAUUGAUUUAUCAAGCAUGAUGCAUGUAUUUUAAUCUCACAAUGGAGGUUUGUCUAAUUAGGGAAAAAAUUUUCAUGGUUAUAAAUUUUACCGGCUGUUUUUCAUGUUAGGAUGCUUAUUAAACACUGCACAAAAUUUAUUUUGAAGUGAAAUUAUGUGGUUGAGAUUCAAUGGAUGUUUAAGGCUUCGUUUGGGACGGCUUUCUUAUUGCUUCUUAAAGUAGCUUUCUUGUACUAAAAUAAAAAUUUUUGUACUUGAAAGCUGCUUUAUGAAACAGUAAAAAAGCAGCCCCAAAUGAAACCUAAAUCUUGAAAACGUGAAGAAAAGCAGUUUAGAAUGAGUUUUCUUGUCAUUGGAUUUAAUUUGAGAUUAGUGUGAUUCAUGAAUGAUCAAUCAACUCUUAUGUUGCUCUCAUGUCAAAGUAAAUUUAAUAGUCAGAAAAGUCAUCCUAAGUAAAUUUGAGUUAGGAUAUUCUUACUAAAAAAAUUUCUCUAGAAAACAUAGAAAACUCAUCCUUUUUUGGUUUCCUGUUGUUUUCUGUAGAACCAAACCAUUUAUUCACUAUUGAAUUAUUAUUAACCAUUGUCAACCCUUUUCUGUCCACCUCUCCAUCAUUACAAAAUUUGGUAUUGUUUUAUUACUUGUAUUAGACUAAUUAUUUAAGAAUUAUUUUUUUUUUUCUCUUAUCAUAUGGUCUUCAGUUGGUACAUAGCUUGGUUUCCUAUCAUUUCGUUUAAAUAAUUUGACAGAGAGCUGAAAUGUACCAUUUUAUGUUCAAUUUACAUCCAGGUCCAAGCAUCAUGUGCCAACCCUUGGUGCAGACUACAGAACAAUGAGCCUUUAAGUUGUACAUAGAGAAAUAUUAGCGAAAGUGUUAGAGCUUAGUAGUGCCCUCGACUCUUGUGGUGCCUACAGAUGUAUACUGACUGAGCAUGAAACACUUUAGGUAUGCUUGAAUUCCUGCUACUGAGGCUCCCAUCAUAUUUAAGUUCUGUUUACUGUCUCAUAUUUUCUUAAUCAAUUUUUCUGAAGUUUGCAAGAAUUCCUAGAGAAGCAAUUAGGGAGAUCCUGGAAGGGAUUCAUAUGUAAAGGAAGUGUAAUCAUGACUUAUCACCAUGUAUAUACAACUUCAGGAACUGGUUUCCAAAGAAUGUAUUGCAAGGGGUUCUCUUUGAUGUUCCAUAUGAUUUGCUGACUUAGAAGAUCCAAAGUUGUUCAUGAAACUUAGGCUUUGUGAUUGGGACAUCUUUUUAUUGCUUUUAAAUAAGCUUUUUAGCUCAAAUUUUUUUUUUUUCAAAAAAAUUUUGUGCUAAAAAGUUACGUUAUAAAACAAUAAAAAAUGUAUCUUAAACGAGAAAAAUUACAACAUGCUGUUACCAGACGUCAUCCGGAGGUGUUUCAGGACACGGUAGAUCACCAUUUUGUUGUGUACCGAGUGACGUUACGCAUCCUGAUUCACCUUCGAAUGGUCCGGUGACCGCACAUACUAAUUUCUCUUGAAUAAAGAAUAAGCUUUAUUGGUAUGUUGACACAAAGGAAUAUUAGGUGCCUCUUUUUAGAAAAAUGAAACCUGAGAUGCCAAAUAGCAUUGUUCAGCCCUCUUAUGCAAUGUUGAGUGUUUGAAAUUGUUGUUGUGCCUGUCUUGACCUUUUUAGAACUGUCCAUAUUUCAUAGGUUGGUGGUUGUGAUUUCAAUUUUAAUUUUAUUCAAAUUUUAUAGGUCAACUUGGAAAGAAAAACUCUUUUCAUUCAAAUAUCAAAGAGAUUGGUUGAAGACCUGUUAUCAUCAUAUCAAUGGUGAACUUGAUUAGCACCUGUGAGUACACCUGUUUCAGAACCCAUGUGCAAACACAAGCAGGAUUUUGGAAUAUGAUAUAGAAUUUGCUUAAGUAUCUCUUAUUCCGCAAAUUCUUUUUUUGUAAGGUAAUUUGUACAAUUAAUAAAUCCUUAGAAAAUAUUUAUUUGGAAUGAUUAUGGAUUUGUUUAGGA